UGGGAUUCUUGCUCAGGUAGAUAGCCAGA
rnacentral:piRNA from 1 species